GCCGGGUUAGCUCAGUGGGUUAGAGCAUGGUGCUAAUAAUGCCAAGUUCACAGGUUCA
rnacentral:tRNA from 1 species